CCUACGGGUGGCAGCAGUGGGGAAUAUUGGUCAAUGGGCUCAAGCCUGACCCAGCAACGCCGCGUGAAGGAAGAAGGCCUUCGGGUUGUAAACUCCUUUUAUCAGGGACGAAGCAAGUGACGCUACCUGAUGAAUAAGCCACGGCUAACUACGUGACAGCAGCCGCGGUAAUACGGAGGUGGCAAGCGUUAUCCGGAUUUACUGGGUGUAAAGGGCGUGUAGGCGGGAGUGCAAGUCAGAGGUGAAAACUAUGGGCUCAACCCAUGGCCUGCAGUUGAAACUGUACUUCUUGAGUGCUGGGGAGGUAAUCGGAAUUCGGUGUGUAGCGGUGAAAUGCGUAGAUAUAAGGAGGAACACCAGUGGCGAAGGCGGAUUGCUGGACAGUAACUGACGCUGAGGCACGAAAGCGUGGGGAGCAAACAGGAUUAGAUACCCUUGUAGUC
rnacentral:rRNA from 1 species